CGGCAUGCUUAACACAUGCAAGCGUCACGGGCAGUAGCAAUACUGUCAGUGGCGGACGGGUGAGUAACGCUAGGAAUCUAUCCUUGAAUGGGGGACAACCGUGGGAAACUACGGCUAAUACCGCAUGAUGCCUGAGGGCCAAAAGACGAAAGUCGUUUGAGGAGGAGCCUGCGUCUGAUUAGGUAGUUGGUGGGGUAAAGGCCUACCAAGCCCUACGAUCAGUAGCUGGUCUGAGAGGGAUGAUCAGCCACAUUGGGACUGAGACACGGCCCAAACUCCUACGGGAGGCAGCAGUGGGGAAUAUUGGACAAUGGGCGCAAGCCUGAUCCAGCAAUGCCGCGUGGGUGAAGAAGGUCUUCGGAUUGUAAAGCCCUUUUGGCGGGGACGAUGAUGACGGUACCCGCAGAAUAAGCUCCGGCUAACUUCGUG
rnacentral:rRNA from 1 species